rnacentral:misc_RNA from 1 species
CAAUCACAUCCAGAGAUUGCUAAGGUGCUCGAAUUUUUCCAUUUUGCUUGCACAUCUGAGGAUAUUAACAAUUUGGCCCAUGCAUUAAUGCUUAAAGAAUCAAUGAACAAGGUCAUGUUUCCUGUAAUGGAUGAAUUGAUCACAGCAUUAUGCAACAUGGCUGAAGAUCAUGCUUCCAUUCCAAUGCUUUCCCGCACUCAUGGACAGCCAGCUUCAGCUACGACUUUGGGAAAGGAAAUGGCAGUUUUUGCUGCCAGGUUAAGCGAACAAAGGCAGGAAAUUUCUCAAGUUAAGAUAAAGGGGAAGUUUGCUGGUGCAGUUGGAAAUUACAAUGCACACAUUGUUGCAUAUCCUGCUAUCGAUUGGCCCCUAAUUGCCAAAGAGUUUGUGGAAUCUCUGGGAUUGUGUUUUAAUCCCUAUGUUACUCAGAUUGAACCACAUGAUUAUAUGGCAAGACUUUUUCAUGCAAUUAUGAUAUUUAACACUAUAUUAAUUGACUUUGAUAGGGAUAUAUGGGGCUAUAUAUCCUUAGCAUACUUUAAGCAGAUAACUAAGGCUGGUGAGAUUGGUUCCUCAACAAUGCCUCACAAAGUAAAUCCUAUUGAUUUUGAAAAUAGUGAAGGUAAUCUUGGUAAAGCCAAUGGAAGUUUAUCUCAUCUCAGUGAGAAGUUACCUAUUUCACGUUGGCAGCGUGACUUGACUGAUUCAACUGUUUUAAGGAAUGUGGGUGAGGGCUUGGGACAUUCUCUUCUUGCCUACAAAAGUGCAUUGCAGGGAAUAGGGAAGCUUCAGGUGAAUGAAAAUCGUUUGAGUGAAGAUCUGAACCAAUCAUGGGAAGUGCUUGCUGAGCCAAUACAGACAGUAAUGCGACGAUAUGGUGUUCCUGAGCCUUAUGAGAAGCUAAAAGAGCUAACCAGAGGAAGAGCUGUUACUAAAGGGAGUAUAAGAGAAUUUAUUGAAGGCUUGGCAUUGCCAAAAGAAGCAAAAUCCUAUCUUUUGGAGUUGACACCCCAUACCUAUGUCGGAGCAGCUAUUGAAUUGGGUAAAUCUGUGAAUGUUACAACGAAUUUAAUAAAUGGGGUGAGAGCUAUAUAAACUGAUACCGGAAAGUUGCCCAAGAUAAUCAACACACAUGAUGGCCAUAUUUAGGAUAAGAUCGAAUACCAGGCUGCUACAUGGAUCAUGACCAGGUACAAUGUGGUAUUUAGUAUGCUUAAAUUGGGGAGGGGAAAAAGGAUGUCANGCUUAAAGAGUGUUAUUUUGUUAUUGAAAGUGAAUGUCUCUCAUAUCAUAUAUUACCAUGCUAGGAAGCUAUUUUCCCCUGUUAUCCCUCUAAAUAGGGUCCUGUAAGGGAGUAAUUUCAAGGAGUUUUACCUUGAAACAGUUUUAUAAGAAAUAGUAGCACUCAAACGGUGACCCUCAGAAGAAUGAGGGAUGAAGUUUUGUAAUGGUAUUUAUUAUAU